rnacentral:misc_RNA from 1 species
GAUGAAGAACGCAGCGAAAUGCGAUAAGUAAUGUGAAUUGCAGAAUUCAGUGAAUCAUCGAAUCUUUGAACGCACAUUGCGCCCCCUGGUAUUCCGGGGGGCAUGCCUGUUCGAGCGUCAUUUCACCACUCAAGCCUCGCUUGGUGUUGGGCAAUGCGGUCCGCCGCCUGCCUCAAAUCGACCGGCUGGGUCUUCUGUCCCCUAAGCGUUGUGGAAACUAUUCGCUAAAGGGUGUUCGGGAGGCUACGCCGUAAAACAACCCCAUUUCUAAGGUUGACCUCGGAUCAGGUAGGGAUACCCGCUGAACUUAAGCAUAUCAAUAAGCGGAGGA